AUUGACAACCCAGCAUAUGCCUGCUAGAGUUUUUGGCUGCAUUUACAGCCUGUUUCUGCCCAUGAAGAAGCCAACUCGAAUGCCCGGUAGAUAAGGCACCAAAGACUGCCCUGUCAUGCUGAGACCCUGUAGCUGGUCAACUCUACUCCAUGCCACUGUGCAAUUUUACCCUCAUAAGUUGGGGCCUAUGCAUAUUAAGUGCUACGUGUAUUUUUUCCUAAGAUUGUUUAUUCCAAUUUCACUUAUUACUAUAAUUAUAUAUGCUAAUUAGCUGUUUAAUAAAGUGAUGAAAUAUGAGUACAAAAAAGGAGAGUUGCUUCCACAAAAACUAAUAAAAAUUAUUUUGAAGUCUUUUCAAUAUAAACUGUAUCACUGUUGAUUACAUGUGGGUAAGACAACGACAACAAACCCCAACUGGCAUGGGGAG
rnacentral:lncRNA from 1 species